UUCCGAGUCGUGUAAUAAUGUUUUCUGC
rnacentral:sRNA from 1 species